rnacentral:lncRNA from 1 species
UUGGCAAUUGAAUUGCAUGCAUUUUUGCAUGUAAUUAGGCUAUAAAUAGAGAUGUUUUCAAAUGUUGAAGGACUUUUGCCUCUUUUAUCAUUUUCAUAAUCUCAACAAAAGAAAAAUGAAAGCUUCCAAUCUCAUUUUAUCUCCAUUACUUUCUACACCAAAAUUGGGUCCCACAACCCGGUUCUUUGUCUAGAGGAUAGCAGUUGAGUACUAGUGGUGGUCUCGGGUAGAAUUGGUAAGAAGACAUCAAACCUUUUGAAAGCUUCAAAGGUAAUACUUCUUAAAACCCUAAUUUGAUUAGUUUAUGGUUACAUGUUAAUUGUGGCAAUUAGGGUAGAAAUUCGAUUCUUUUCCGCUGUGCAUGACUUAGUUCUAUCAGGCUCUUGGUUUUUUUAUGGGAUUUUUCUAAUGUAUAUUGCAUGUGUUGUUUGUUUUUUUAUAGCUCUUGAUUGUCUAACCUUUUGACGUUUUGCAUUUGCAACUCUCUCUUUUGUUUCUUUGGUAUGCAAUGUGGUAACAAGGUCUUGCUAGAAUCGGUGGGCUAACCUUUCUAUGGUUCUAAACUUAGUUUCUAAGUUUGACUGCUCCCUUCGGAGUGACAACAAGCCUCGUUUUCCCCCUACUAUGGAACGGGGAGGAUUCCUCCUCUUUUCAAAGCCCUUGUCAAACUCAAUGCUAAGUUUGACUGCUCCCUUCGGAGUGACAACAAGCCUUGUUUUCCCCCUAAUGUGGAUCGGGGAGGAUUCCUCCUCUUUCAAAGCCUCAUCAAACUCGAUGCUAAGUUUAGAACGCUAAGAGUAGGUGGUUUGGUUUUGGUUAGGCCAAAAGUAAAGUUUUCUGCUAAAAGCUCUGGUAGUUAGGGAACUCAACACAUUCUACCUGACCGAAACAAGUUGGCUCUUUGUCUUUUUAUGGAUUUUCUAAUGUAUAUUGCAUGUGUUGUUUGUUUUUUUAUAUAGCUCUUGAUUGUCUAACCUUUUACAUUUUGCAUUUGCAAGUCUCUCUUUGUUUCUUUGGUAUGCAAUGUGGUAACAAGGUCUUGCUAGAACCGGUGGCUAACCUUUCUAUGGUUCUAAACUUAGUUUCUAAGUUUGACUGCUCCCUUCGGAGUGACAACAAGCCUCGUUUUCCCCCUACUAUGGAACGGGGAGGAUUCCUCCUCUUUUCAAAGCCCUCGUCAAACUCAAUGCUAAGUUUGACUGCUCCCUUCGGAGUGACAACAAGCCUUGUUUUCCCCCUAAUGUGGAUCGGGGAGGAUUCCUCCUCUUUUCAAAGCCCUCAUCAAACUCGAUGCUAAGUUUAGAACGCUAAGAGUAGGUGGUUUGGUUUUGGUUAGGCCAAAAGUAAAGUUUUCUGCUAAAAGCUCUGAUAGUUAGGGAACUCAACACAUUCUACUUGACCGAACCAAGUUGGCUCUUUGUUUUUUUAUGGGAUUUUUCUAAUGUAUAUUGCAUGUGUUGUUUGUUUUUUUAUAGCUCUUGAUUGUCUAACCUUUUUACGUUUUGCAUUUGCAAGUCUCUCUUUUGUUUCUUUGGUAUGCAAUGUGGUAACAAGGUCUUGCUAGAACCGGUGGCUAACCUUUCUAUGGUUCUAAACUUAGUUUCUAAGUUUGACUGCUCCCUUCGGAGUGACAACAAGCCUCGUUUUCCCCCUACUAUGGAACGGGGAGGAUUCCUCCUCUUUUCAAAGCCCUCGUCAAACUCAAUGCUAAGUUUGACUGCUCCCUUCGAAGUGACAACAAGCCUUGUUUUCCCCCUAAUGUGGAUCGGGGAGGAUUCCUCCUCUUUUCAAAGCCCUCAUCAAACUCGAUGCUAUGUUUAGAACGCUAAGAGUAGGUAGUCUGGUUUUGGUUAGGCCAAAAGUGAAGUUUUCCCCCAUUUUUUAUGGGCUUUUUCUAAUGUGUAUGUUUGAUUUUUUUUAUAGCUCUUGAUUGUCUUACUGUUUUAUGUUUUGCAUUGUCAAGUCUCUCUUUUCUUUCUUUGGUAUGCAAUGUGGUAACUAGGCCUUGCUAGAACGGUGGGCUAACCUUUCUAUGGUUCUACAUUUAGUUACUAAUUAAGUUUGAUUGCUCCCUUCGAAGUGACAAUAAGUUUUGUUAAUGUCGACCCUUUUCUAAAGGGAUUUAGUUCAUUGUGGCUAGACAAGAGGCUUCUAACUCAUGUUUGACAAGACAAAUUUGUUAAAACCAUCCCAGUUUCUAAAGAGUGCCUCCUAUCCUUUUUUACUCUAUCUAGGCUAGGUUUGGACUAAGUGCAUCAUAGGUAAGUCACGACAAAGCAACAAAGGAAGACAAAGCUAGAAAAGUAUCCAUGCACUUAUUUAUUAUACAUGCAAUCAAGCAUUCACAACACACAUACCAUUUUCUCAAUCAUGCAUUCACAUCUCAAUAAGAAAUAGCUAAAAGGAGCUUAAAACAAAAAAGACAGCAGCUUAUGCUCAAAUUUCAGCACAUAUACUCAUCAAAAUUCAGAAUUUCACAUCAUAAACCCGAGCUCAGUGCUCAAGGGUUGCCAAUCAUGCUUUUUAUGCAAGAUCUAAUUAAGCUAUGCUCAUUAUUGUAUGGAAAGAAUUCUGAAAAAUUUUGAAAUUUGGGCAAAAUUUGAACCCCCAAGUUUACACUAAACAUGCAAGCUAAGCAAGCUAUUACCACACACCACUCAAAAAAUUGCUUUUUCUGUCCUAAAAGCUUUUGAAAAUCAAAGUAAAUGGAGAAAAAUAAGGGGGGAACUUUGGACUCCCCUGGAAGGAUCGACAUCCUUGACUUUGUUUGAAGCUUGCAUGGAUAAACCUUUUCAUUCCUUUUUCAUUGAUUAUUCAUCCUUGUUCCUGAAAAUCAAAGGAAAUUCUCUCAAUUUUAUAUAUUACUAAAAUUAGGAUACAUAUAAGUCUUAACUAGUCUAAUAGCACCCUCCAUUCAUCUUCCCCUACACUGGCUAUGGUAUCAAAAUUUUCAAUUAAGUAAUACGUCUACUAACGAACUUGAAAACAAAACACAUCACACUAAAAAACACAAACAUCACUUUAACCCAACAGAAGCAACUCUUUUUACCCUUGCACUCACUAUCACAUUACUAUCAUGUUUGUCAACUGUCAAACUAACUCUUUUAAGUUAUUUAGUGUGACUACAAAGUUAUGAACACCAUAAUCUUAAUUAAAACCUUUUAAUAAAUAAAUGCGAAGUUACUACUCAAGAAUGGCAAGGAAUUCAAAAAACAUGACAGCUAUCCUAAUUGGUUGAAAAUGAGAAAAAGAAAGUUAGCCAGACAACCUGUUUGGACUACAAAGCCAGCAGAUAUGAUUCCUCAAAUUUGACCAUUCACUCUCCAUACUCUACAAGUCUUCAAGCACAUGAUGCUGCCUACUUUCAGAUGAGCAACAUCAUUCCGAUCUUAACAGUCAGAAGAGCAAAUCAAAUCAAUCCUAGCAUAUUCACAAAUCACAACUAAAAAGUACAAACAUUACAAAAUAAAACAUGCAGCGAUAUCAACAAGCAUUCUGAUAAAUAAUUAGCCAAUUAAUUGACAUUACAAAAUAAAUAAAGAAAAACAAGCAUUCUGAUAUUUUUCUAUUUGUGCGGGCAGCCGAUGUUCACAAAACAGCGUUUCGAACCCACGAGGGGCCCUAUGAAUUCCUUGUGAUGCUGUUUGGGUUGAAACGCUCCGCAACAUUCCAAUCAAUCAUGAGUGAUGUUCUUCGCCCAUAUUUACGCAAGUUUGUUUUGGUUUUCUUUGAUGACAUCUUAAUUUACAGCAAGUCCUUGGACGAGCAUUUGCACCAAUUGGCAAUGGUUUUGGAAACUCUAGUAGCUCAUCAACUGGUAGCCAACUUUAAAAAAUGCCAAUUUGCGGUUGACAAAAUUGAAUACUUGGGCCAUGUUAUU